rnacentral:rRNA from 1 species
UACGUAGGGGGCAAGCGUUGUCCGGAAUUAUUGGGCGUAAAGGGCUCGUAGGCGGUUUGUCGCGUCGGGAGUGAAAACUCAGGGCUUAACCCUGAGCCUGCUUCCGAUACGGGCAGACUAGAGGUAUGCAGGGGAGAACGGAAUUCCUGGUGUAGCGGUGAAAUGCGCAGAUAUCAGGAGGAACACCGGUGGCGAAGGCGGCGUCCUGGACCAACACUGACACUGAUGAGCGAAAGCCAGGGGAGCAAACGGG